rnacentral:lncRNA from 1 species
CUGGAAGGUGGGUGUGCAUCGAGCAGUUGCCACAGCACUGUUCUUGAUUUCUACAUUCUGCACCAAUGCUGCAUAAGGGAAAAGUAGUUUUCUAUUUGUUGCUAAAACAAGAAGAAAAAAAAGAAAAAAAGCCAUCAUUUAGCUAUAAGCAAUUAAAGGAGAAAUGCAUUGUGACCUAAUUUUCUAUUUCAGCUCCAUCCAUCUCAGUUUUCUUCUACGAAUUGCCUAUCAUAUACAGAUAUCUAUCUACAUGGACAUAUAUUUUAAAAUAUUUUCUCUUGGUUUGUGGCAAAAACAGGUUGUAAGAAGCACAAUACCACUACUGUCAUCAAGCACCGCGGAUGUGUAUCUCCUGCACCUGUUGAGAUGACAUACUGUGAAGGCAGCUGUGAUGCUUACUCACGAUAUUCUCAAGAAGCAAACAUGAUGGAACAUAAAUGCUCAUGUUGUCAGGAAGUCCAGACUAGCAUAAGAAAGGUGACUCUGACGUGCAGUGAUGGAACCCACCUUGAUCACUCAUACACCUACGUGGAGCAAUGCAGCUGUGUGGGUGCUGAGUGCGUUCCCCAAGACAUUGUCAACCAACAACAGCAAACAGGCAAUAUAUGAGGCAAAGACCUCUCAAGAAAAAGGAAAUGUCUAAAAUUAGAACUAAAGAGAAGCCAAACAAGAGUUGAACAUAGACUAAAACAAACCUUUGGAAAAAAAAAAAAAAGUAACAAAAGCAGCUAAAAUUUUGGACAAACAGAAGAUAUUUUCUGCAUACAAGCUCAAUAUAUCUGUCUACAUUAUUUCAGUUUUCAUUACCAUUGUAUCUCAUACUGGUUUUCAUGUCUUUUCUUUGACAUCUUGAGAGGUACAGUGUAAGAUCAUUUUGACAUUUGUUGCUAGUUUGUAUGUCUUCUGGAAAGCACUAUACCAUAAGACUGAGAGCUUACAUUUACACAAUGUCAACAUUCUUUUCUGGCUUGACGCUUUCCUAUGGUCACACAAUUAAUAUACACUGUAUAGGCAUAAAAUAAACUUUACUGCAUACGAAAAAAAAGUUUUGCU